AUUGAACGCUGGCGGCAUGCCUUACACAUGCAAGUCGAACGGCAGCAUGGGUGCUUGCACCUGAUGGCGAGUGGCGAACGGGUGAGUAAUGCAUCGGAACGUACCCGGAAGUGGGGGAUAACGUAGCGAAAGUUACGCUAAUACCGCAUAUUCUGUGAGCAGGAAAGCGGGGGAUCGCAAGACCUCGCGCUUCCGGAGCGGCCGAUGUCGGAUUAGCUAGUUGGCGGGGUAAAGGCUCACCAAGGCGACGAUCUGUAGCGGGUCUGAGAGGAUGAUCCGCCACACUGGGACUGAGACACGGCCCAGACUCCUACGGGAGGCAGCAGUGGGGAAUUUUGGACAAUGGGCGAAAGCCUGAUCCAGCCAUGCCGCGUGAGUGAAGAAGGC
rnacentral:rRNA from 1 species